UGGGGAAUAUUGCACAAUGGGCGAAAGCCUGAUGCAGCAACGCCGCGUGAAGGAUGAAGGUCUUCGGAUUGUAAACUUCUAUCAACAGGGAAGAACAAAUGACGGUACCUGUAUAAGAAGCUCCGGCUAACUACGUGCCAGCAGCCGCGGUAAUACGUAGGGAGCAAGCGUUAUCCGGAUUUACUGGGUGUAAAGGGUGCGUAGGCGGCUUUAUAAGUCAAAAGUGAAAUUUCGGGGCUCAACCCCGGAGCUGCUUUUGAAACUGUAGAGCUAGAGUGUGGGAGAGGAAAGUGGAACUUUGAGUGUAGCGGUGAAAUGCGUAGAGAUUCAAAGGAACACCAGUAGCGAAGGCGGCUUUCUGGACCAUUACUGACGCUGAGGCACGAAAGCGUGGGGAGCAAACAGG
rnacentral:rRNA from 1 species